GUUCAGUGGAUUCGCUCUCCGCCGAGUCGCCGGCCACCUCUCACCACCACCAUGUUUUCUGCUCUUGUCAUCGAGAUGCCGUGGAUCGAUUGAGGUCCAAAUUAAAGAACAUUGAAGUGAUCGAUCACCGCUCUCGGAGAUUCGGGCCACCGGAAUCCGGGUCUUGAAGUUUCUGAAACCCAUUUGGAGAAAGUUGAGAACUUCGGCCUUGUCUUGCUCAUUUGCUAUCUGGGUUUUUUUCUCUCACCAAAUCAAGGGAUCAAGCAGAGGUAGCGAAUUGGGGAAAAGAGGAGAGACUGCAAGAUUGGAUACCCAAGGCUGAAAGGUUGGUUGGGAUUUGGGUGGAGUUUGCUUAGUCUACAUACCUGUGGGAUUUUGAUUUCUUCUAUCUUUUUGCGAUUUGGCUCAAGAUCACUUGCUAGAUGGUUUGAGCUGCCUCAGCGGGGCUUCGCAGUCACUAGAGGAACUCCCAUACCCUUUUCAACUUUCUCGUAACAAAAAAAAA